AUAUUUUUAGAAAUGGCAGAAGAGGUUUAAGUUCUGGGUCAAUCUUUCUUCCAGUUCUUCAGGAUCACUUCUGCUGCAUCCAAGGUGCUAACUUACUUUGAUGAAGCAAAACCGUAUGUACUUUUCAAACUGUUCUUUGGUCUCAGGGCCGCAAAAGGAGGUGAGAGGAAUAGCUGACAGUUUCUUAAAAAAAGCACAAUUGCAUGCUCAGCAUACAGAUCUACAUCUUUAAAACAAAAAGAAGAGGUAAAAAACACCUUAAGAGCUGCAGUUUUUCAAAAGAAAGGCAUUACCCAGUAUGGGCACUUCAGCAGAGAUUUUUUUACAGAACAGUAGAUGGAAAGGCCCCUUCAUGCCUUGCCGUGACAAAGGGGCUUGAAUAACUCAGAGAAGCUAUGAGCUAUGCCGUGCAGGACCACCCAAGAUGGACAGGUCAUAGUGGAGUUUUGACCAAACGUGAUCCACCUGGAGCAGGAACUUGCAAGCCACUCCAGUAUCCCUGCCAAGAAAACUCCACGGACAAAGACAACAGGCAUAACCAGCAUGAGUUUGACCAAACUGCGGGAGGCAGUGGAAGACAGGAGUGCCUGGCGUGCUCUGGUCCAUGGGGUCACGAAGAGUCGGACACGACUAAACAACAACAACAAGAUGGAAAGGAUCUGGAGCCCAGGGGCUGCAAUACCACAAGGACUGUCUCUCCCCAUAUAAACUAACAAGACACUGCAAUCAUCAUCUGAGGUCUUUCUGAGGCCUUUUUUCAUGUGCCUCCUCCACGAGAGGUCCAGAGGACGGCAACACAAGAACGGGCCUUUUCUAAGUGGCUCCCUGCUUGCAGAAUGCUCUCCCUGGGGAGAUUCAUCUGUCGCCUUCAUUAUACAUCUCUAGGUGCCAGGCGAAAACGUUACUCUUCAACCAAGCCUUUGGCUGAAUAACAGUCUAGGUCCUUUUAAAUGUGUUGGGGGGGUAUUGUGGGGUGUUUUUUUUUUGUACUUAUUAUUAUUACGUGCUUUGUGGUUUUAUUCUUGUUUUUAUGCUGUGGACCGCCCUGAGAUCUUCGGAUGAAGGGCAGUAUAGAAAUGUAAUUGAUUAAUAAAUUAAUAAUAAUAAUAA